GUCUAUAGAAUCCUCUACUUUCCUAUGAAUAUCUCUAGUUGCAUUCUAUUCUCAUUUUUUUAACUUAAUGGUAUUUCUUAUUUCUAAAUAAUUAUAGAUUUACCAGAAGUAAAUCUAUAGUAAUAGAAUUGUUCCAAGUACAUUUCACCCAGUUUCCCCCAAUGAUAGUGUCUUAUAUAACUGUCAUACAAUAUCAUAUUGGUAUAAGCCACAAAUUUUAUUCACAUUUCGUUAAUUUUGCCUGCACUCAUUUAUGUACGGGUAUGUAAAAUUCUACAUGCCUUUGUUAUCUGUUUAGAUUUGUGUAACCACUACCAUGGUCAAUAUACACAACUGUUUCCUCACCAUGAGGAUCCCUCAAACUAUCCCUUUAUACUCAUUCCACUUCCAUCUUGAUCCUAAACACUUGGUGGUGACUAAGAUAUUCUCUAUCUAUAUAAUUUCAUCAUUUUUGUCAUUCCCAACAAUAUUAUUUAAAUGGAAUAAUAUGAUAGGUAAGCUUUUUAUUAUAAUUAUUAGUGCAUGCUAAUUGUAUAAUUGAUGAGUCUUACUGUGACAUUUUCAUACAUGUAUAUAUUGUGCUUCUUCCCUCCCAUGCCCUUCCCCUCUUCCCCCAACCCCUGUUUUUCUUCAUCUUUCCUAACAAUCCCUCUUUUACUGCUUUCUGGUCAAUUUUUCUUUUUUCCUUUUUCCUUUUAUAGUUUCUACAUAUGAGAGAAAACAUGCAAUAAUUGUCUUUCUGUGUCUGGCUUAUUUCACUUAACAUGAUGUCUUCUUCCAGUUCCAUACAUUUUCCUGCAAAUGGCAUGAUUUCAUUUUCCUUUAUGGCUGAGUAAUACUCUAUUGUGUACAUAUAC
rnacentral:lncRNA from 1 species